rnacentral:rRNA from 1 species
CAGCCGCCGCGGUAAUACCGGCGGCCCGAGUGGCGGUCACUAUUAUUGGGCUUAAAGCGUCCGUAGCCGGGGUGGGAAGUCCUCCGGGAAAUCUGGCCGCUUAACGGUCAGAAUGCCGGAGGAUACUCCCAGCCUAGGGAGCGGGAGAGGCCGAGGGGAUUCCCGGAGGAGGGGUGAAAUCCUAUAAUCCCGGGAGGACCACCUGUGGCGAAGGCGCUCGGCUGGAACGCGUCCGACGGUGAGGGACGAAGGCCAGGGGAGCAAACCGGAUUAGAUACCCGGGUAGUCCUGGCUGUAAACGAUGCGGACUUUGUGUCGGACAAGCUAUGAGCUUGUCCGGUGCCGGAGGGAAACCGUUAAGUCCGCCGCCUGGGGAGUACGGCCGCAAGGCUGAAACUUAAAGGAAUUGGCGGG